rfam:Triticum aestivum genome assembly, contig: Triticum_aestivum_CS42_TGACv1_scaffold_406218_5BL
UACAUACUCCCUCCGUCCGAAAAAGCUUGUCCCUCAAAUGGAUAUAUCUAGUACUAACUUGGUACUAGAUACACCUAUUUGAGGGACAAACUUUUUCAAACAGAGGGAGUAUAUU